GAAAUGCGAUAAGUAAUGUGAAUUGCAGAAUUCAGUGAAUCAUCGAAUCUUUGAACGCACAUUGCGCCCGCCAGUAUUCUGGCGGGCAUGCCUGUUCGAGCGUCAUUUCAACCAUCAAGCCCCCGCUUGUGUUGGGGACCUGCGGCUGCCCGCAGGCCCUGAAAAACAGUGGCGGGCUCGCUGUCACACCGAGCGUAGUAGCAUACAUUCUCGCUCAGGGCGUGCUGCGGGUUCCGGCCGUUAAACGACCUUCAUAACCCAAGGUUGACCUCGGAUCAGGUAGGAAGACCCGCUGAACUGAAG
rnacentral:misc_RNA from 1 species